rnacentral:tRNA from 1 species
CAUAUAAUAGCUUAAAUUUAAAGCGUUAAACUUUUAAUUUAAAAAUAAGAAUUUCUUUUAUAUGG